rnacentral:rRNA from 1 species
UGGGGAAUAUUGGACAAUGGGCGAAAGCCUGAUCCAGCCAUGCCGCGUGUGUGAAGAAGGUCUUCGGAUUGUAAAGCACUUUAAGUUGGGAGGAAGGGCAGUAAGCUAAUACCUUGCUGUUUUGACGUUACCGACAGAAUAAGCACCGGCUAACUCUGUGCCAGCAGCCGCGGUAAUACAGAGGGUGCAAGCGUUAAUCGGAAUUACUGGGCGUAAAGCGCGCGUAGGUGGUUUGUUAAGUUGGAUGUGAAAGCCCCGGGCUCAACCUGGGAACUGCAUCCAAAACUGGCAGGCUAGAGUACGGUAGAGGGUGGUGGAAUUUCCUGUGUAGCGGUGAAAUGCGUAGAUAGGAAGGAACACCAGUGGCGAAGGCGACCACCUGGACUGAUACUGACACUGAGGUGCGAAAGCGUGGGGAGCAAACA